UCGCUGCCGGCGAUGCCGGACUUCAAGAACGGCGUGCCGCCUUGCGCGCCAAGCCCGGACAUAUGCCCGCUGCCGGCCAGCGACGUCGAGUACCUGAACUCGUAGCCGCCGUUGCCGCCAAGCCUCACGAUGGGCUCCCCUUCAUAGCUCCUUGACAGCAUGUGGACGGUGGAGAACUGCUCUUGCCAGAAGCACGCCACCUUGCCACCGACGGAGGCAAGCGCCGCCGAGUGCCCGACGUUGAUGAAGCUCUGCGUGCCAUUCGGCACCGCGUUGCCAAUGAACUCCGCCAUCAAGUGUGGCCCGUUCGUCCCCGUCGAUGCGGAAGCCGCCACCGCCACAGCCGCUACAUGAACCAAGAACGA
rnacentral:sRNA from 1 species